rnacentral:rRNA from 1 species
GUCUGAUUAGGCAGUCGGCGGGGUAACGGCCCACCGAGCCAUCGAUCAGUAGGGGUUCUGAGAGGAAGGUCCCCCACACUGGUACUGAGACACGGACCAGACUCCUACGGGAGGCAGCAGUGAGGAAUAUUGGUCAAUGGGCGUGAGCCUGAACCAGCCAAGUAGCGUGCAGGACGACGGCCCUACGGGUUGUAAACUGCUUUUAUGCGGGGAUAACCGGCGGCACGUGUGCCGCCCUGCAGGUACCGCAUGAAUAAGGACCGGCUAAUUCCGUGCCAGCAGCCGCGGUAAUACGGAAGGUCCGGGCGUUAUCCGGAUUUAUUGGGUUUAAAGGGAGCGCAGGCUGGCUGUUAAGCGUGACGUGAAAUGCUGCGGCUCAACCGUGGUCGUGCGUCGCGAACUGGCAGUCUUGAGUGCGGACGACGUGGGCGGAAUUCGUGGUGUAGCGGUGAAAUGCUUAGAUAUCACGAAGAACUCCGAUUGCGAAGGCAGCCCGCGAGGCCGCAACUGACGCUAAAGCUCGAAGGUGCGGGUAUCGAACAGGAUUAGAUACCCUGGUAGUCCGCACGGUAAACGAUGGAUGCCCGCUGUAUGCGAUAUAUUGGGCAACGGUGAAACUCAAAGGAAUUGACGGGGGCCCGCACAAGCGGAGGAACAUGUGGUUUAAUUCGAUGAUACGCGAGGAACCUUACCCGGGCUUGAACUGCAGCGGAACGACGGAGAGAUCCUGAGGCCCUUCGGGGCUGCUGCGGAGGUGCUGCAUGGUUGUCGUCAGCUCGUGCCGUGAGGUGUCGGCUUAAGUGCCAUAACGAGCGCAACCCUCUCUGCCAGUUGCCAUCACUUUUAGGUGGGCACUCUGGCGGUACUGCCACCGUAAGGUGUGAGGAAGGUGGGGAUGACGUCAAAUCAGCACGGCCCUUACGUCCGGGGCUACACACGUGUUACAAUGGGGCAUACAGAAGGCCGGUGUUGCGCAAGCAUCAUCCAAUCUAUAAAGUGUCCCUCAGUUCGGAUUGGGGUCUGCAACCCGACCCCAUGAAGCUGGAUUCGCUAGUAAUCGCGCAUCAGCCAUGGCGCGGUGAAUACGUUCCCGGGCCUUGUACACACCGCCCGUCAAGCCAUGAAAGCCUGGGGCGCCUGAA